rnacentral:lncRNA from 1 species
GGCAGACUAGUUCGAUGUUAGAUGACUCAGUUGACGUAGUGUCACAGCAGUGACGUCACUACGUUGGAUCUGUUAAGUAAAAAUGACAUCAUUUCGAGGUUCAAAGCGUGUUUGUGCCUUGUCAUGUUGUUCCAAUCCACGGGUUGCCCAGUAUUUUGUAUUUUUGAUGCUCCAGCGUCUUUGGAUCUCAGUCUACAGGAGAAAAGAUCCAAUUAAUAUUAAGAAUGUCAAGAUUUGUGAUAGGCAUUUUACAUCCAAUGAUUAUGAGCAAAAUUUCCAGGCUGAGCUUACUAAAGUUAGUAAAUAAAUCAAUAACGAGUCAUUUUUUUUCGUCAAAUAUACAAGAAAAUGAGCAUGAUGAAGAGGCAAUUGAAUCAUAGGAACCUUAGAAGAUUCUGGACUUCUUAAAGCCGAAAAAAUAAUGACAGCAGAUACAGAAGAAUCUUCUCAAGUUUCCAAUGAUUGUUCAGAUCAGAGUCAGGAUUAUAUUGCAGGCUGUUUGGCAAAAAAAAAAAAAAAAAAGAUCUUUAUCCAAAUCUAGGGAAAAAUACAUGUGACUUCGGAUUUUAUGAAGAAACGUCUAGCCCUUGGAUUGAAUUGGUAUCUAAUGGAAGCCUUACGAUCCCCUCGUCCACGAAGACGCAAUUAACAAAAACCCAAACGUAUUUGAAAGGCUGUAUGAUCAUCUAAUUGAAUUAUAUUCUAACUUGCUUAAAGAAGUCAUCAUAUCCUUUGUGAAAACAAGAACAAGAAUUAGAGUAAAUAACCUUAAUAAAAAGCUCAGACUGAAGAACGCGAGAGAAACUUGGAGAGAUUGGCCAAUUUACAAAUUAAUAUCCAUUUAAUCAUGUUUGUAUGUAAAAAAAAUAUGUAUUCUAUAGUUUUUACUUAUUGCUAUUCUUUUAUCCACCACUCUUAAAUUAUGUAAUAAAAUGGUAAAGGAUAUUACUAUAAGUUUA